rnacentral:rRNA from 1 species
AAGAGUUUGAUCCUGGCUCAGGAUUAACGCUGGCGGCAUGCCUAAUACAUGCAAGUCGAACGGGGUGCUUGCACCCAGUGGUGAACGGGUGAGUAACACGUAUCUAAUCUACCCAUUAGCGGGGGAUAACAGUUGGAAACGACUGAUAAUACCGCAUACGACAUUUUCUGGCAUCAGAGAAUGUUAAAAGGUCCGUUUGGAUCACUAAUGGAUGAGGAUGCGGCGUAUUAGUUAGUUGGUGGGGUAAUGGCCUACCAAGACAAUGAUACGUAGCCGAACUGAGAGGUUGAUCGGCCACAUCGGGACUGAGACACGGCCCGAACUCCUACGGGAGGCAGCAGUAGGGAAUUUUUCACAAUGGGCGAAAGCCUGAUGGAGCAAUGCCGCGUGACUGAAGACGGUCUUCGGAUUGUAAAAGUCUGUUGUAAGGGAAGAACAGUAAGUAUAGGAAAUGAUACUUAUUUGACGGUACCUUACCAGAAAGCCACGGCUAACUAUGUGCCAGCAGCCGCGGUAAUACAUAGGUGGCAAGCGUUAUCCGGAUUUAUUGGGCGUAAAGCGUGCGCAGACGGUUUAACAAGUUUGGGGUCAAAUCCUGGAGCUCAACUCCAGUUCGCCUUGAAAACUGUUAAGCUAGAGUGUAGGAAAGGUCGAUGGAAUUCCAUGUGUAGCGGUGAAAUGCGUAGAUAUAUGGAGGAACACCAGUGGCGAAGGCGGUCGACUGGCCUAUCACUGACGUUUAGGCACGAAAGCGUAGGGAGCAAAUAGGAUUAGAUACCCUAGUAGUCUACGCCGUAAACGAUGAGUACUAAGUGUCGGACUAAGUUCGGUGCUGCAGCUAACGCAUUAAGUACUCCGCCUGAGUAGUAUGCUCGCAAGAGUGAAACUCAAAGGAAUUGACGGGGACCCGCACAAGCGGUGGAGCAUGUGGUUUAAUUCGAAGCAACGCGAAGAACCUUACCAAGGCUUGACAUCCAGUGCAAAGCUGUAGAAAUACAGUGGAGGUUAACAUUGAGACAGGUGGUGCAUGGUUGUCGUCAGCUCGUGCCGUGAGGUGUUUGGUUAAGUCCAGUAACGAGCGCAACCCUUGCCGUUAGUUACUCCAUUAAGUUGAGAUACUCUAACAGGACUGCUAGUGUAAGCUAGAGGAAGGUGGGGAUGACGUCAAAUCAGCAUGCCCCUUAUAUCUUGGGCUACACACGUGCUACAAUGGUCGGUACAAACAGUUGCGAUCUCGUAAGAGGGAGCUAAUCUGAAAAAGCCGAUCUCAGUUCGGAUUGAGGGCUGCAACUCGCCCUCAUGAAGCCGGAAUCGCUAGUAAUCGCGAAUCAGCAAUGUCGCGGUGAAUACGUUCUCGGGUCUUGUACACACCGCCCGUCACACCAUGAGAGUUGAUAAUACCAGAAGUCGGUAUUCUAACCGCAAGGAGGAAGCCGCCCAAGGUAGGAUUGAUGAUUAGGGUGAAGUCGUAACAAGGUAUCCGUACGAGAACGUGCGGAUGGAUCACCUCCUUUCUAUGGAGUUAAUACUUUAUAGUAAUUAACUAGUUUUAAUGACCGUUAUGUUUAGUUUUCAGAGAUUAGUUUCUCUGAAAAUAACAAGUAAAUGUUAUUGGAAUUGUUCUUUGAAAACUGGAUAAUAGACAUCUAGUUAUUUUAAUCACAUGAUUAAAAUAACAAUAAUUCAAAAUUUCUGUUAUUUUUAAAAAAUAACUAAAAUUUCACAGUUAUAUUUGUAAAUGAUUCUCAAAAAACUGAUUUAAAAUCAGGUCAAAUAAUUUAUAAAACUUUGAAGUUACAAAGGGCGUAUGGUGAAUGCCUUGGGAAUAAGAGCCGAUGAAGGACG